CCUACGGGGGGCAGCAGUAGGGAAUCUUCCACAAUGGACGAAAGUCUGAUGGAGCAAUGCCGCGUGAAUGAAGAAGGUCUUCGGAUCGUAAAGUUCUGUUAUUAGAGAAGAAUAGGUCGAGGAGUAACUGUCUCGACUUUGACGGUACCUAACCAGAAAGUCACGGCUAACUACGUGCCAGCAGCCGCGGUAAUACGUAGGUGACGAGCGUUGUCCGGAAUUAUUGGGCGUAAAGGGAGCGCAGGCGGUUGAAAUAGUCUGAUGUGAAAGCCCACGGCUUAACCGUGGAAGGUCAUUGGAAACUGUUCAACUUGAAUACAGAAGAGGUAAGUGGAAUUCCAAGUGUAGCGGUGAAAUGCGUAGAUAUUUGGAGGAACACCAGUGGCGAAGGCGACUUACUGGUCUGUAAUUGACGCUGAGGCUCGAAAGCGUGGGUAGCAAACAGGAUUAGAUACCCUAGUAGUCCACGCCGUAAACGAUGAGUGCUAAGUGUUAGGGGGUUUCCGCCCCUUAGUGCUGGAGUUAACGCAUUAAGCACUCCGCCUGGGGAGUACGGCCGCAAGGCUGAAACUCAAAGGAAUUGACGGGGACCCGCACAAGCGGUGGAGCAUGUGGUUUAAUUCGACGCAGCGCGAAGAACCUUACCAACUCUUGACAUCUUCUGAUCACCCUAGAGAUAGGGCUUUCCCUUCGGGGACAGAAUGACAGGUGGUGCAUGGUUGUCGUCAGCUCGUGUCGUGAGAUGUUGGGUUAAGUCCCAUAACGAGCGCAACCCUUAUUGUUAGUUGCCAGCAUUCAGUUGG
rnacentral:rRNA from 1 species